rnacentral:misc_RNA from 1 species
GGCUGUUCCCCUCUGGAGGUUUUAGACCUUCACACCUGACGGGCCUCGGAGCAAUCUGUAGGCCCUUUUUUUUGCCUUCC